UAGUUGUAAUUGUACAAUAAUAUAUUUCGAGCCGAUUCGCCGAAAUUUUAACCACCGCAUUUAGAGAAGGUCACUCGGAAAAUCUAUAUUAGAAUGUGGCGUUAAAGUAUACCCAUUUAUGUUUGGAGAUGUCUAUAUUUCGGUACCCCGUACAACAUAAUACAUUAUGUUGCUAACGAACACCCUUCCCCCAUAAUAAUUUCGAUUCAAAGUCCAUUCAGCCGGAAGUAUUUCGCGUUACCGUGUAUACAAUAAUAUUUCAUUAAGCGAAACGCGGUGUAUAACCUAUACACUUGAGGCGCAGUCGUCUCUGUUGAAAAUAUUAUUAUAGGUGAAGGUGAACAAUACGCGUAAAUCAGGAGGAAUCUAUAGAUGCUCCGCACAACGCAGCAACAAUAAAUCGAAAACCAUUUCAAACGGUUAACACAAUAUCUACCUAUGUUUUAUCAGUUAUAGUUUCUCGAAAAAAUAACAUCGUGCGAGCAAAUCGCGAGAGAAAUCGAUUCG